GUUUUUCUUUGAAUUCUUUAGAGGAAAGCAUUUGAAGAGGACCGAGCAACUUGGCUCAAACAUCAGUUUCUGAACAUGACUCCAUUUACAGAACGCACAAAAUCCCAUACUCCAAAACCUCAAAGUGCCUUAUCAGUUUGUACCGAGCCAGAGGUUAAAAAUUCAUCCACUCCUGCACGACUGGGUGAAUCACCAUCUCAUACCACUUUUACCUCACCGAAAGCCGCCCCUGUGAGGAUGCCAUCUACAGCAGAUCUCAACAAUACUCUUUGUCUCGUCACUGACCACAGCUCAACAAAAGCAGUACCAAAGAGGGGGAGUUGGCAAGACUCUGACAUCAUGCAUAGCAGCAAACUUUCAAUCAAAUCAAGUUACUGCAAUGGAACAGGUGACACAAGCAUAUUUUCUCAUGCUGGAGAAGAUGAUGACCAAAUCUAAGGCCAUUUGGGACCACCUCAGUACUUUGUUUUGUUUUUUUAAGCCGUAUCCAUGAGUUUCAUGAAUGGAUUUUGUUUUAUAACAUACCAUGGUUUGAUGAAUCUGUAAUGUUGGGGGUGACGGAGAGCCAGUUGCGACUAGGAGAAAACCCCUUCAAAAAGCGCGCACGCGAACGUGUUCGCCACUAAUACUCCCAAAACCCAACGGAAGUAAAUACUUUCCUUCUCCCGAGACAGAGGGAGGAACAAAAACAAACCCGAAGGCGACUCAGAAUAACUAAACAGAAAAGAAGCCCAAAAACUGGCUGAGGAGAAAAAUAAAACAACCCUUUAAAACUGGGCGAAAUAACAAACCAAACUUGGUGCUUGUAAACCCUCAGUGAUGUAGUGGACUGAGGAAAUCCCGAAAAGAAAAUACAACCUAGCGAAAAAAAUGCUAGGCACAAUAAAAUAAAACCCACGAGAUGCAGCUCGGGAA